rnacentral:rRNA from 1 species
CAGUCGCCGCGGUAAUACGUAGGUGGCAAGCGUUGUCCGGAAUUAUUGGGCGUAAAGGGCUCGCAGGCGGUUUCUUAAGUCUGAUGUGAAAGCCCCCGGCUCAACCGGGGAGGGUCAUUGGAAACUGGGAAACUUGAGUGCAGAAGAGGAGAGUGGAAUUCCACGUGUAGCGGUGGAAUGCGUAGAGAUGUGGAGGAACACCAGUGGCGAAGGCGACUCCCUGGUCUGUAACUGUCACUGAGAGACGAAAGCUAGGGGAGCAAAUGGGAUUAGAUACCCCUGUAGUCCCUGUCUCUUAUAC